rnacentral:rRNA from 1 species
UUGGAGGGCAAGUCUGGUGCCAGCAGCCGCGGUAAUUCCAGCUCCAAUAGCGUAUAUUAAAGUUGUUGCAGUUAAAAAGCUCGUAGUUGAAUUUCGGGAUCAGAGUGUCGGUCACGCCUCUGUACGCACUGGUAUUAUUGGUUCCUACCUUCUGAAGAACCGCGAUGUCAUUAAUUUGGUGUCGUGGGGAAUCAGGACUGUUACUUUGAAAAAAUUAGAGUGUUUAAAGCAGGCUUACGCUUGAAUACAUUAGCAUGGAAUAAUGAAAUAGGACGUUUGAUUCUAUUUUGUUGGUUUCUAGGAUUGACGUAAUGAUUAAUAGGGAUAGUUGCGGGCAUUAGUAUUCAAUUGUCAGAGGUGAAAUUCUUGGAUUUAUUGAAGACUAACUACUGCGAAAGCAUUUGCCAAGGAUGUUUUCAUUAAUCAAGAACGAAAGUUAGGGGAUCGAAGACGAUCAGAUACCGUCGUAGUCUUAACCACAAACUAUGCCGACUAGGGAUCGGAUGAUGUUAAUUUUUUAAUGACUCAUUCGGCGCCUUACGGGAAAC